rnacentral:rRNA from 1 species
AUGGGGAAGGUACAGAGUAAGAAUGUUCCAGCCUAUGAUGGAGCAAUUUUUCUGUGCAACCACCUGACCAGGAAGGAGUGCUUCCACAGAAAGCUUUUUGGCCUUUCGUCUAAAUGUAUUGAGUUUAUACAUAAAGUGAAAUCUGGCGCGACACUAUUCCUGUAUGAUGUUGAGCAACGUAAGCUUCAUGGGGUGUUUGAAGCAACUUCAGAUGGAGCCAUGAAUAUCAUUCCUGGUGCAUAUGCCUCAUCAGGGUUUCAGUAUCCUUGUCAGAUACGCUUUAAGAGGAUUUGGUUUUGCAAGCCUUUGAUGGAAAGUGAAUUUGAAGAUGCUGUACAGGAUAAUUAUUACUUCGCAAGAAACAAGUUUAAUUAUGGUUUGACACAUCAACAAGUUGUAAAGCUUCUUCACUUGUUUUCUUCAAGGAACAGAUUACAGCCUCGUCAAAAUCCAAGGUUACAGUAUGAACCUCCAAGGGAGUCUGAUAUUUCUUCUGUGGUUAACCAAACUGAUAACCAGUCUGGUUCAAAUAGCACUUCACACGGUUCAUUGAAAAGCCCCUGUCAAACAUGUACCUCCUCCAAUGUUGGGGAACAUGCAGCAUCGCCGAGUCACAAGUUAUCUGAGCCUAUGUCAUUAAAGCAUAGAGAGUUACAACUAGACAUCUCAAGAUCUUCCUUGCACACUGCAGCAAAUACAGACGUUGUCACUGAACCUGGCACCCAAGAAGCAGUGGAUGACAAGUUUACUGAUGAUUAUAUACCACUACAGCUGGAGGAUGAUACUUCAGAUGGUGUUGAUACUCUAUUUGAUUUGCUUGGAGAUGAGAGCCACUCUUCAGAAUCUAAAGGCAGUAGUGACUCUGAAGAGAACACAGCUUUCCACCAACCAUGUGUCAGGAAGAAAGAUGAUUGCCAUCAACCCCCGGCAGAUUCAAAGCUUCGCGCUGACAUUGAAGGGCGAAAAAGCGUGUUUGCUCGGUUAUUG